AUGGUUUCGGAGUCAGAGUCCCAUGUGGACAGAAGGAACAAGUUCUGAUGACCCCCUGAGUUCGCAAAUCGGUGAGACUGGAUUUCGAGGCCGAGUGUUCAGGGUCCUGUCACUGGCGAGUCCAGAGUUUGAGGCCUGGUGUUCGGAGAUUGGUGUGUCCUGGGCUCGAUGCCCGAGGACGAUUUGGAUGUCUGGAUGCUGAGUGUUAGCUGGAGCCGAAUCUGCAAAUCUCUGUGAAUCGUAGGGGAUCCAACGUGGGUGGUAGCAAGCUGCAGAUGUAAUCCUUGACCAGCCUCUCAAAACAUUUGCUUAUUAUUGAGUUUUCUCAAAUUCAAUGUUCACAGAGAAGACACAGAGGAGCAACCGUUUAGGUCACGGCCCCGCAGUUGCUGCGACCUCGGAUGUUUGAUCCUGACUUCGGGUGUUGUCUGUGUGGAAUUUGCAUGUUCUCCUCGUGACCUGGAGGAUUCCACUAGUUUUCUGCUGCAUCACAAAGAUCAAAGUUCAAAGUUCAAAAUAAAUAGAAACAUAGAAACAUAGAAAAUAGGUGCAGGAGUAGGCCAUUCGGCCCUUCGAGCCUGCACCGCCAUUCAGUAUGAUCAUGGCUGAUCAUCCAACUCAGAACCCUGUACCGGCCUUCUCUCCAUACCUCUGAUCCCUUUAGCCACAAGGGCCAUAUUUAACUCCCUCUUAAAUAUAGCCAAUGAACUAGCCUCAACUGUUUCCUGUGGCAGAGAAUUCCACAGAUUCACCACUCUGUGUGUGAAGAAAUUUUUCCUAAUCUCGGUCCUAAAAGGCUUCCCCUUUAUCCUUAAACUGUGACCCCUCGUUCUGGACUUCCCCAACAUCGGGAACAAUCUUCCUGCAUCUAGCCUGUCCAAUUCCUUUAGAAUUUUAUACGUUUCAAUAAGAUCCCCCCUCAAUCUUCUAAAUUCCAGAGAGUAUAAGCCUAGAUGAUCCAGUCUUUCAUCAUAUGAAAGUCCUGCCAUCCCAGGAAUCAAUCUGGUGAAAUAUAUUAUCAGAGUAUAUAUGUGUUGCCAUAUACGAUAUUGAGUUUCAUUUUCUUGCAGGCAUUUACUAGGAAAAGAAAGAUAUGUUAUAGAGCUUACAAGAAACUAUGCAUGAAGAUGCAAAGACUGACAAACACUGUAAAAGAAGAGAAAUUGUGGAAAUAAAUAAAUAUACUGAGAACAUAAGUUAUAGUGAGAAAAUGAGUCUGCUGGUUGUGGAAUCAGUUCAGCUUUGAGGUGAGUAAAGUCACCCUCACUGUUUCUGGAGCCUGAUGGUUGCAGGAUAAGGCCUGUUCCUGAGCCUGGUGGUGUGGGACCUGACACCAGACUUCUAACAGUGCACACUGAAGGGUUUCAGAGCUGGCUGCAUCACGACUUGGUAUGGAGCACAAUGCCCAGGAAUGGCAACGUCUACAGAAGGUGUUGAUACAGCCCAAUCCGACACAGGAGAGCCGUCCCCGCCAUUAUGUACAUCUACAAGGGGCACUGGCACAUCAUCAAGGACCCCCACCAUCCCGACCAUGCUCUCUUCACAUUGCCCCCAUUGGGCAGGAGGUACAGAAGCCGAAUAGAAUCAGGUUUAAUAUCACCUGCAUAUGUCGUAAAACUUAUUGUUUUGCAGCGGGACAUUGCAAUACUUAAUAAUAAAAAAUACAAAUUACAAUAAGAAAUGAUAUCUUAAAA